GCUUACGGCCGUACCAGCCUGGGG
rnacentral:rRNA from 1 species